UACGUAGGGCGCAAGCGUUGUCCGGAAUUAUUGGGCGUAAAGAGCGUGUAGGCGGCCCGGUAAGUCCGCUGUGAAAGUCCAGGGCUCAACCCUGGGAUGCCGGUGGAUACUGUCGGGCUCGAGUCCGGAAGAGGAGUGUGGAAUUCCUGGUGUAGCGGUGAAAUGCGCAGAUAUCAGGAGGAACACCAAUGGCGAAGGCAGCACUCUGGGACGUGACUGACGCUGAGACGCGAAAGCGUGGGGAGCAAACAGG
rnacentral:rRNA from 1 species